AUUUCAGGGGUUAAGGUACCCCAACUCAGCAGAAUACGUGACCCAUAUUGCACAAUUGAAGAUGGUUAGCUCGUCGAUUUAGGCCCUGUUCGGUAGUCGCCCGCUCCCGGAAUCUGCGGAGCAGGGGAAGUGCAGCUCGGUCGUUUUGAACUGCAGCUCCGCCAACUCCGCUCCUGGAGUUGUGGAGCGGAGUGGUACCGAACAGGGCCUUAAUUAUGUUGCAACUGUGUCGACAAUGUUUAUUUGACCGUACAUUCGGGUUCUCUUUCCUUUGUUCAGACAAAUGAUCCAUACAUGAUGACGCAUCAAGAUGUAGCUUUUGAAUCGUACCAACUUGGACGCAAUACUCCCAUAGCAAAUACUGAUGAAUACAUGAAUUUUGUUCUUAGAGAAUGCAUGCAUCUCUAAGAUAAGGAAUUUAGCUCUAUACAGGAUGACCCACCAAGAUGGGUAUUAAAGAGAGCUACAACUUAUUUGGAACAUGAUAUGAUAUUCGUUCUAGCUGUUGCAUGAAUAAACAUUGAAGACUUUAUUGGUACCUAGCAGUUAAAAAUACCAAGGUGCAGUGUAUCCAGGUGCUCGACUCGCUAGGCCCAGGAAUGCACCGUAAAGACCUCACCGCUAUGGUUAGUUAUUAGUCCGACUGCACCAUCGUUUGAUAAGACCAUAAUGCGGUGGAGAAUCACAUGGGCAGAUGACCCCCUAUGGCGGCAGGAGACAGAGUCCUCUUAUUUCUUAUUUGGGGGACAAAGAAUGCAAGGGUAAGAACACCUUACUGCUGGUGAAGGAAUGCUUAGUCCGUGGCUGCUGUAUGCACAGAUGCAUGCCCUCUUGCCGGCAAAACAGCAGCAACAGUCACCUCUGGUAAUUGCUCUUACUUAAUAUAUUUGCAGUUGUGUCUCUGAAAUAUAUUUAUGGGUCAAAUUCAGGAUCAGGCGAGGCAUGUAGACCUCGGAACUAUGUACGAUAUUUUAUACCAAUGGUGUGUUGAAAUCUUAUUUAUGAAUGAACUGGAUUGCUAAUUUGCUAUGCAGUACUAAUAAUAAUACACUGAACUUAUAGUGCUUGCAUGUUAUAAUUCCCCUCUAAGGAAAUUUGUUUGCAAGUUAUAAUUUAUAGUGUAAGUUUAAAUGUAUCUUUGGAUAUCACCCAAAUCCAGCAGGCUAGCACUAGCAUAGGCAAGAUUAACUCUACUGAACCCCGACGUGAGCCACACAAUAGAGUAACCCAACUCGACUAAAUCGCAAAACAUAAGGAACCUUUAUCCAACUGAGCUGUUAGCAUUACAUGGUCG